GUUGCGCGGCGAAUAGUUGAUGAAGGCGAAGCCGCGGGUCUGGUCGAUGAUGUGGAACAGCGGAUUCCAGGUGAACAUGUGCAGCAUGAAGCCGGGCAUGGUGUUGGCCACGAACAUCUUGCCGGAAAACACCAUGUUGAUGCGCUG
rnacentral:ncRNA from 1 species